AGCUGUGGAUCGGCAUCAGGACAGCUAGAGAGGGUUUAAGUUGGUUCAUAUCUUGGGCCAGCUGGUCUGAUGCCAUUUGACAGCUCA
ensembl:miRNA mdo-mir-7335 mdo-mir-7335